rnacentral:rRNA from 1 species
UACGAAGGGGGCUAGCGUUGUUCGGAUUCACUGGGCGUAAAGGGUGCGUAGGUGGCUGGAAAAGUUUGAUGUGAAAGCUCAGGGCUUAACCCUGAAAUGGCAUUGAAUACUGUCGAGCUGGAGGUUUGGAGGGGGGACUGGAAUUCUUGGUGUAGCAGUGAAAUGCGUAGAUAUCUGGAGGAACACCGGUGGCGAAGGCGGCAUCCUGGACCGGCAUUGACGCUGAGGCGCGAAAGCCAGGGGAGCAAACGGG